GAGUUUGAUCAUGGCUCAGAUUGAACGCUGGCGGCAUGCCUUACACAUGCAAGUCGAACGGCAGCACGGGAGCUUGCUCCUGGUGGCGAGUGGCGAACGGGUGAGUAAUGCAUCGGAACGUAUCCUGGAGUGGGGGAUAACGUAGCGGAAGUUACGCUAAUACCGCAUAUUCUGUGAGCAGGAAAGCGGGGGACCUUCGGGCCUCGCGCUCUUGGAGCGGCCGAUGUCGGAUUAGCUAGUUGGUGAGGUAAAGGCUCACCAAGGCGACGAUCCGUAGCAGGUCUGAGAGGAUGAUCUGCCACACUGGAACUGAGACACGGUCCAGACUCCUACGGGAGGCAGCAGUGGGGAAUUUUGGACAAUGGGGGCAGCCCUGAUCCAGCCAUGCCGCGUGAGUGAAGAAGGCCUGGU
rnacentral:rRNA from 1 species